AAUAAAAUGCCUGAAAAAGGAGUAUUCUGAUAGAAUAAUUUAUGUAUAACCAGUACUUUUAUUA
rnacentral:tRNA from 1 species